UGAGAGGAAGAUGCAGAAUCUGAAGCAGGCUCUAGGCUUCGAGCUGUCAGCACAGAGCCUGAUGUGGAGCUGGAACUCAUGAACCACGAGAUCAUGACCUCAGCUGAAAUCGAACUCUUAACCGACUGAGCUACCCAGGUGCCCCCCAAAUUCUAUUGGUUUAAUAGAUAAAAGGGCUAUUCAUAUUUUCUAUUUCUCUUGUGACAGCUUUGGUAAUUUGUCUUUCAAGGAAUUUUGUACACUUCCUAUCUUUUUUUUUGGCCAGCUUUCUUGAAGUGUAAUUGACAAACAAAAUUGUGAGAUAUUUAAAUUGUAUCCUUUAAAGAUGAGUAGAAUUUGCAGUGGUUCCCUCUAUCAUUUCUGACAUUGGCAAUUUGUAUUUUUCUCUUUUUCCUUGCCUUUACGUAUGUGCAGAUUAGUUAGCUUUCACUGCAUUGCCAAAUCCUACAGUCUCUGUAUCAGGCAAUGUAUAUUUUAUAGAGCUCUCUCUUUCUUUUUGGAAGGUAAUCCCCUGGAAUAGUUAGUAAUUCUUUAUAUUACAAUUUCCCUGUUCAAAUUGGGGUGUGGUUUCUGUCUCCUGAGUGAAUCCUGACUGAUACACCAAUAAAAUACUGGAAUAGAAAUGUCAGCGAUGGAGAGGACAUGGAAGAGAAUUCAGACCCAGGUGGAUAGGCUGACUCUGAACAGGGAGAGCGACAUCCUUUGAGCCUGGAGACCAUAGGAAGGAUACAUGGUGAGUAUCUGACUAUAUUUAUGAGGGAAGGGAGGAUGAGAAGCUGAGGGAGUUCCUGGCUUUGAUUUUCUCCAUGAAGUAGGAGGAAAGCUAUCUGCUGAAGGCUUGGGGAGAAUGAGGCAGAUUUGUAAUAGCCCUCGAUGAACCUUGCAAAAGACCAAUUUGUGUUGGAGUAUACAAUUUUCUCUACCAGAACUCAGAAAUCCAGCCUUAUAAGCAAGGCAGGCAGUUUUAGAACUGACUCAGGGUCAGGGUUUUCCAGGACUUGUGAGUAGAAGAAAAAGGGAGCAAGGGUAUUAAAGAAGCUGAUGAGAAAUCAUCCAAGUUAUUGACCAGAGGUCUAGCGUGGGUUUUGAAAGACUGAGCCCCAGGGUUGAGUGGAGGAGAGAAGAUAAACUGUGAGGCCAUAAAAGGGUUAAAGUGCUGGCACUCAGUGAGGUCAAGGAAUGAAGUAGGAGGAAUAGAAUAGAGUUGGAAAGGUCAUGGUCCAAGUGGGACGUUGAAGUGUAAUUUGGGGGGAGGUGGAGCCAUGCUAGUAAUGGUCCAAUUGUGGCCUUGAAAAGUUAUUUGAAGUGAUCAGGACAAGGUUGGGGGAGGCUAGGGUGUCAGAUGAGUUGGCCUCAGCAAUUUGUCUCAGGAUGGUGGUAGGAGUUAAUACAGUGGUGACUGGGGAGAGUCCUCAGCAUGGUGUGGGCCAGGGUCAAUGAUAGCAGCAAGAGGUGAAGGCAAUGAGCCAUGCAGCUUGAGCAGGACUUUAAAUGAGAGUAGAAGAGUAAUAGCAUGGAACUGGCAAGGGAUGGUGGGAGACUGCUGACUCCAAGUGCACCCUUCUUGGCUGGAAAAUGGAACUCGUGGGAGCAAGAGCCACUUUCAUGCAAGAGGGCUGCAAGGGAACCAAUGUCCUUGGGGGUAAGGCCAGGUUUUAGUUACUGUGAGAAGGAGGAUAUAUGGAAAGUUCUUGGAGAGUGUUGUGGAUGUAGAAUUUGCGUAUAGUGGAAUGAGGGUUACUAAGAGCGCAGGGGAAAAUAUUCAAAAGGAAAACAGCAACGUGAAGGUGGAAAGGGCAAAGGUGAUGAGCAGUUUGUAGGACUCAAAGUACAGCAACUGAAUUUUCAUCCAUGUAUCACAGCACUUGGUAGGCACAGAGUAGGUGCUCAAUUAAUGUAUCUGAGGAAUUGUGUAAAUCCGUGAAUAAAGUCUCUUUUGCAGCUGCUCACUUUGGUUCUCCAUUUGUUUACUGGGAAUGCUGCUGCUUUUAUCCCCCUAGCUCUGAAAUUUAUAGCUGCGUCCUCUCCAAAGCCCCAAUUCUUUCCAUCUGGCAGAGUGGGUGUCUUAUUAUUCUAUCCCAUUUCACCCUAGGAGGGCGGGGAAAGUCAGGGCUGAAUCUUCCUCUGGUUACUACUUGGGAGAAACUGAAGGUCAGAGAGAGCAACGAGUUCACCCACCAUCAAGGAUUAAGAUUUACAGUAAGACAGGGAAAGAAAUAGCAGGCUUCCCCCUGUUCUGGCCUGUUCUGGCCCCCAAAGCAGCCCCAGAAGGGUGCAUGGGGGGCUCUCAGGGAGCAGCUGUCCAACGUGGCCUGUGGCCGGUCAGGCUCUGCACAAGGCAGUCUCCAGCAGGUGGGGGUGUGGAGUUGCGGAAGGCUGGCAGCUUUAGGUGGAAUGAGAAGGCAGAGACGCCUUGCGGCUGCAAGACGGGAGCGGCUCUUCGGAGGAAUGAAGUCUUUGGGGUUUGCGCGGCCAAGCUUGGGAGAUGGACUUCUGCUAACCCAUUGGUUUCCAGCCGUCACUCCACAGCCACGUUGCUUCGUUAGAGGAGCAGGAAGCAACAGGAGAUGGAUGCCCCCUGCCUCUUUUUCCUCUUUGGCCUCAAGGUCUGAGUCCUGAGGUCUUGACGGUGGGGAAUGUAGCCUAAUGGAGAGUGCACAGGGUUUGUGGCUUUUAAGUCCCGGCGCCCCCACACUCUGGCCACGCACACAGGCUACUUCCAGACCUCUGCGAGUGAGUGAUAAAGGCGCCUGUCCCACCUUCUCACACUUUAUAGGUGAAAGCCUUGGCAGACUGAAGACUGUAAAAAUAUAAGAAUUUAUUGUUAAUGAUUAAUGGGGUAGUUAAUGGCAAAACUAUGUUCCUUGAUCUAUUCUAGAGGAGGAAAGAGGACCUUUAGGAAAGAAGACUUUCUUAUUUGCAAAAGAACUGACCCUUUUGACUGUAUGUUUUCACCUCUGUGAGGUCAUAGAGUGGAGGGGUAAGAAUGCCAACUUGCGGUGGAACAUAGGAGGGAGGUAAUAAGCACUUGGGAAACAGAGAGCACAACAAUAAACUACCAUCUCUUAAGUAUCUGCUAUACUCCAGGCCCAUUACACGUGUUGUUUAACAUCAUCAUCACAGCAGGCUGACCGGGUAGAUGUACUUAUCUAACUAGAAAUGGAACCUUAGAAUCUGAGAGGUUAAGUACUAGCAGAGAGUUCCCCAGAUAAAAAGUAGCGAUGGCAGGAUUUGAACCCAUGCCUGCUUGGCUCUCAUAGCCCAGGCCUUUCCUGCUGUAAUGUGUGGCCUUAUACUUGACUAAAUCUCCAAAAAACUUUUCUAGGGACCUGUCCUAAGCUGGUUACUUAAGAAUCACUCAGGAAACUUGUAAAAAUGUGUAUUUUUAAGCGCUCCCCCAGGGAGAAUGUCAUCACAGAUUUAGGUUUUUCCUUUCUCUUUCUUUCUUUGCAUUUCAUAUCCUCCCCCAUUACUUCAGCUGUUUAAGGGACUACAGUAAUCAAUACUUUUGUCUUUCAAACAUCUUAUACCUUAUACUUUUUCUUGAAAACACUGGCAAAUGCACAUUCAUUUUGUCAAGCCAGGGACCCCCGAGGUUCCCCAACAGACUGUUAUACAAUCAGCAACUCCCACUUGUUCCAACAAUAUACUUUUAUCCACUUAUUCUGCUGGGGUGCAAGAGUCAUCUUUAGGACACAGUUCACUGCUGGGAGAGGCCUCCCCUUGGGCAGGACUUGGCCCUGGGAGGGAAACAGAAGCAGAAAGCAGUGGAUUCCUGGGGUUUUAUUCAUCUAAUCAUUCAGUAAGUAAUAACUGAGUACUAUGUGGCAGGCAGGGGCGAGAUGUUGGGGAUGGAGUAAUCAUAAAACAAAGUCUCUGUUCUCAUGGGGUUUUGCAGAGGUGGGCACAGAAAGCCUGGCAUCUGAGCUGAGACCUGACAGAUGACAGAGUGAACCGUGAAUUGCUGGGGAAAAGCAUACCAGGCAGAGGGAACAGCGAGUGCAAAGACUCCCUUGGGGGAGUUUGAGGUAGUGCAAGAAGGCUAGUAUCCAGCAGGAAGCCUGGAGUGGAGUGUGCAAGAAGGAGCAAGUCAUAUUCUCUAACUGAAGAAGCCCAGACUGACCCGAGUGGAGAAACCAUAUGGAGAGACUGCAUGCAGGUGUUUUGGCUGAUGGCCCAGUCCAAGCCUAUAGCCAGCGUCGACCACUGGACACGUGCGUGUCAGGAAGAAGUCGUUGAGACGACUUUAUCCCUAGCCACCAUCUGACUGCAGCCUCAUGAACAACCUCAAACAUUACCCAGGAAAGACGCAUCUGCAGUUCUGAGCUCUUCAAACUAGGGACGUGUAGCAGUGUGCUAGGGUUUCUACAAAGCUGCAGGAAAACCACGGUUCAUCACUCUGGAGCAUCAAUUUUACUCAGUGGUAAGUCACUUAAAAUAUUAUUUUUACAUUAAAACAAACCCAGAUACGGUAUGGAAGAGAGUACAAAAUUUGCAUGAAUGUUUAGAAGUUAUGAGACUUCAAAGAAUUAUCCAGCUUGCCUCAGUCUUCUGUAGCAGUUUUUAGGGUAGACAGCAUUAACAUGUGGGGAUCAGUUGAAUAAGCUGAGGAAGAGGAGGGGGGAAAGAAAUGUGACAAUUCAGGGGCAAUAGGGCACCCAAGGCCCUAUCUUGAGGCACAAAGUCCCUUGUCUGAUAGACAGUGACAUGAUCUUAAAGAGUAACGCGGGUACCUUGAUGUAAUGGCUUUGCCUUUACAGCCUGGGCCCGGGUGAGUGGCUUAAUUCCAAGCUAUGUGACCCCUGACCUCUCCCCCACCCCCUGACCUGAUGGCACAGAACAGUUGAAGGCUGGGGUACAUCAGGGCAGGGACAAUGUGGCUGUAUGUGACGCGGUACCGAGAACUAACCCAGUAACUUCAGAUGUGGUCUGAACUGUGCCCCGUUCUGCUAUUUCUGUCCCAGCUUUGCUAUUAACAAAUUAAUGUGACGAUAGACAAUGUACUUAACCUCUCUCUGUUUCAGUUUUGUCAUCUAUAAACUAGUGAUAAAUGUAGCAGUUCAUAGUGUUGUUGAGGGCAUUAAAGGAGUAAAGAACAAUACUUAGACUAUCACUUGGGAUGUAGUUAAGUGUUCAGUAUAUGUUAAUUAUUAUUAUUAUGUAACCUAUGAUUGCAUAAGCUUCUCAUGGUAAACGUGUCCCACUCUGCUUUCAAACUGAGCUUGUGACUAAUUAAAACUCUCGGGUCUUUUUCAUUGGAAUUGUUAUCAAGCUUGUAUUCUCUGUGCCGUUAUUAGUUUUUAAUUGCACGGCUUAUUAAUGUUCAUUUUCUUGAUUUUGGUCUAUUGUUGUAGCCUGUGGUCGUUAUCCAGCAACUAAGUCUUCUUUCCAAAGUGAAUUGGGUUUCAGUUUCUGAUGACAUUUAUACUUUUAUCAUCCCCAUUUCACAGAUGACAAAACCGAGGGAAGGGAAUUAUUACUUACCGGGUGUGUUCUUUGUGCCAAACAUUGGGAUAGGUACUUUGCAUAGGGCAUCUCAGUUAAUCCCCAGAACACUCUACAGAAGUGGGAUUUAUUAUUUAUUUUACAGAUGCAGAAACUGCAGCUCAGAAUGGUUAAGCAUAUUGCCCAAGGUUACUCAGCUAGUUCAGGUUUUUCCCCUGGUUCGUCAGUGUUUUGGGUUCUCUGUAAACUUGACAUGUUUCUAUUCAAGCUGUUGAAGUAGAUGUUUUAUAGGACAAAGCCAAGGACAGAGACAAAUCACUGGAGAAGUCCUUCUAGGUAGAUCUAUAACUCUCGAGUCAAUUCCUGAAUCAAUGCUCUUUGUACAGGAUCAUUCAAUCAUUGCAAUUGGAAUCAGUUGCUGCUAUUGGAAACUGAGGUCUAGAGCUUCUUCUUAAGAAGUCAUAAGGAAACCUCUUUCCAUCGCAUCUUUAAGGGAAGGACCUCCCCCCCCCCCCCCCCCCCCCGCCACUGGCCUUGUCCUGGUAAUUUCCUUAUCCUCUCUUAGCUGGACUCUGGUUGCUUGUAGAGUCACAUGUCCCCAGCCAAUCCCAGAAAAUGUUCCUUUUCAAGCUCAGUGUGAGAAGUUUUACAGAGCAUCCUGGAAACCGUAUCUGCCUGUGUUUACUCUUGCCGAUGAUUAAAGCUGACAGCUGGAACACCAGGAGUCCAGACCGUAGGCACAGGACUGCUGACGGCAGGGCAGAGAAUCGAUAGCAGUGAUGGGACCUAAAGAAACCCAGCCCCUCCUUCCCUACUUUCAUGGUGUAGACAUGAUAGAAGAACAGAUAGGUCAAGAAAAGAGACAGAAGAACAGUUAGGCCAAUUUCUCCAGGCAUGGACUCUGCUCCAUUUUGGAUGGAAAGAAGGAGUGGUGUCAUGGUGGCUGUGCCCGUGGGUUCCAGGACUGUGCCUGGGGGGCACAUGAAGGCCUGGGAGCUGCAGCAUGAAUUGCACUUAUCUCUAUGCAACAGUGAUGAAGAAAUAGUGAUGGCCCAAGCCCUGGACAUCCUGAUGAGCCCUCCGGUCCACAUUGAUUAUUAAAAGUAGCAUCCUGUAUUUUGUCGGGCAACCCUAGGAGCUGUCUGGAAUGCUGUUUCCUCGAGAAGAAUGAGAGAAAGGGAGUCGGGAGAGGGUACACCUGAUCCCUGCCCAUGGAAUGAGGAUCCUAGCCGGAGUGGUCCCCAAACUCUCUUCUUCCCAUCUCUGUGGCUACCCAGUGGCAGGCAUAGUGCAGCGGAAUGUUUGAACCUGGAAUAACCUUGAUCUUCGACCUCCUCCAUUUGAACCUUCUGGAGGCGGGAUGAGUACAGUAGCAGCCCUGUGUCUUCUCUUUUUGUCCUUCACACAGUUGCUCAAAACCCUCCCAGGUCUUCCACUCCACGUAGAAGAAAAUCCAGAGUACUUGCAGGACCCUAGGGUCCUGCGUGUGUGGCCUCUGCCCCCUCCAGCCUCACCGCCCACAGCAGUCUCCAUGCUGGGCUGUGAACAUGCCAAGCAUGUUCCUGCCUCGGGGCCUUCACACUUUCUGUUCCCUCUCUCUCAUGGUCACCAGAUUUAGCAACUGAGAAUACAGUGUGCCCAGCUAACAUUGAAUUUCAGAUAAGCAAUGAAUCAUUUUUAGUACAAGUAUGCCCUGUGCAAUAUUUGUUUAUUUGAAUUUCUUUUCUUUGUUAAAAUUUAUUUUAUUUAUUUUGAGAGAGAGAGAGGGAAAGAGAGAGUGCAGAGGAGGGGUGGAGAGAGAGAAUCCCCAGCAGGCUCCAUGCUAUCACUGUACCAUUAACCCAUGAACCAUCAGAUCAUGAUCUGAGUCGAAAGCAAGAGUCAGAUGCCUAACCGACUGAGCCACCCAGGUGACCCUGUCUGAAUUUCAAAAGUAGCAUCCUGUACUUUAUCGGGCAUCUUGUAUUUUAUCGGGCAACCCUAGGAGCUCUCUGGAAUGCUGUUCCCUCAGAUAUUCACCUCCUUCAGGCCUGCUCACUUCACCAGAGGCCUUGCUUUUCUGUCCCGUGUGCAAUAGCAGCCCCAUCAAUCUCCUCUUAUUUCCUGCUUCAUCUCCCUUAGAGCUCUGCCCACUUCCUGAUGUGAUAUUGUUCAUGUAUUCAUUUGUUUAUUGACUCUGUCUCUCCCAGGCACGUGUGGGCUCCACCAAGGCAGGGAUUUCAUUCUUCAGUGUAGUAUCUUCAGUCUCUUGGCUCAAUAAGCAUUAGCUGGGGCUCAAUAAGCAUUAGCUUAGUAUCCAAUGACCUCUUACCGUGGCUCUUUGCCACAUGGCCCUGUGCACCUCUCUCGUCUCAUUUCAGGCCACUGCCCUCCCCAUGGGGCACUGUCCAUGCUGACCUUCCCUUUGGUCCUCAGACUUGCCCAGUCCAUUCCUGCUUUAGGCUUUGGGACUUGCUGCUGGGCCCAAGCCUUCUCUGCCAUCUGUGUGACUGUCCCCUCUCCUCUUAGGACUCAGGGAGGGCUUCCCUGACCUCUGCAUCCAAAGUAGCCCUCUGACUCUACACUUUCACUCCCACGAUGGUUGUUUUAUUUCCUUUAAAACUGUUAUUGCUCUAGGAAAUCGUGUUGAAUGAUUGGUUGGCUUUUGUCUUGCGUCUCCAGCACACAAGAAUGUCAGUUCUGUGGAGACAUCAGCCAUGUGUCACUUAUGCCCCCAGCACCUAGCCCCAUGCCUGGUAUAUGAUACGAACAAUAAAUAUAUGUUGACUGAGUGAGGGAGUGCCUUUGGGGUGGGCGAUACACCCCGCCUUGCAGGCAUGUUGGGGACUGUGGUGAGGGGGAGGGGGAGCCCAGGAACCAUCCCGGAGAGGGUCUCCACCAGGAGGGUACUUCCCACUGCCAUGGCCCCUUGUGCUUGAUUAGCCCAACUGUUUGGGGGUGAGGAAGUCUAGAAAGGUAGCUCCUUGCUUCUUUCGGCCUUUGUGGCAAUUAGGAGAGACCAGGUCUUUCCCACUGGAAUGUAUCCUUCAGGCCCAGAGAGGAGAGUGCCUCCUCCAUGCUGCUUCCUUUCUACUUUGCCACUUUCUGCAAAUGGUGACAAGGCCCAAAGGGACCUUGGAGGCUGCUGUGGAAGCUGGCCGCCUCGGUCCCCGAACGGUGGCGGAAGACCUGAACAUCCUCCCUGGGCUGUCACAUGAGAAGGAAGCCAGCUUGCUGUGUUUUCAAUCACUGAACUUUGGGAGUUGUUACGGAAGUGUAGCCUAGCUAAUUAAUACAUGGCUGUAUCCACUGUGUCUACUGUAUGGAAAGUACUUGGUACAUCUAUUGUUGUUGAGCUCCCUGGUGAGGGAGAUGUUUGUUCCCAUAAAUGGAACGAAAUUGUAUUAACUAACUAAGCAGAGCCAGCUGUUUUUCCUUAUUUGUGUAGAUAGUGCUCAUGUCCACAAGGUCAUCAAACUCCCUCUCUUUGGGAUUAGCAGGGGACAGGCAUGUGAAGCGUUGUCCUUUGAGGCACAAGCAAAAAAGAAUGUGUGAGGGUCCCUACAGUUCAUGAAAAGGCAGCUGCAAUGGACUCUCACUCUAUCUGCGUUGCCCAGAAGUCACCGCAGGAGACAGAUGCCACGGUGUGGUUGGCUGCACCUAUAAAAGAUCCCUGUGUUGAAGUUCCAGGGACUCUUGAUGGAAAUUCUCAGCAAGUUCGUGCUAGAUCUUCUGGGAUGAACUGUCUGCUUUUUUGGCGGGUGGCUCCACUCUCAGACUGGUUUCCUGAUUCCUUUGUGUUGAAUGACCCUCAGAAUUUCUAUGGCCUGGGGCUUGGCUGCACACUCUUAACUCAGGUUCCUUUAAGAAUUUUUGCCUAAGGCUUGACAAUUUUCUUCAUGCAAGGUCUUCAUCUCCCUUUACAAUGGACCUUGACCUUGUUUUCACUAAUGUAGGCAUGGACAAAUCCUUCUCUCCGUGGUUCAACCAACAGACGUUUUUGUUUUUGUUUUUUGAAGAAAUUUACUUUGACAUUAAGGAAACAAGUAAAUUUAAGAACACAGACUGUAACAAGUGUAGAGAGUAUUGGUUUACUGGUGGGCAUAACUUAUAGUGUCCCAAUUCAUGGAUGAAUCACCUGACAUGUAUUUAUUGGGCUCCUAUGAGGCAUUGCACUGAGCACAGAGUGUUUAAAAUGAGAAGUGUGCAGUCUUUGGCCUCAAAGAGACCCUGGUAUCUACAGAAAACAAAUGUUUUACAAUAUAAUGUGAUAAAUGCAAUAAUGGAGGCACAGAGCAGGGGGCAUUUUCAACACAGUUAAGGAGGCCCCAAAUUCCUUCCUCUACUAGGUGCUAUCUAAAGAGACCUGUCCCUAAAUCUUUUUCAGUUUUGGGGCACCACAUUUUCUUGUUUCCUCCUUUGCCACUCAUUGUAGGGAGAAACAAUUACAGAAGGAAUUAUGUUCUCUUGUACCAAAGGCAGCCUUACACACUGGAUUUUAGGGAUAGUCCUAUAUUUAUGUAUUAUCCUUUUAAAUAAAUAUAAUUCAGUAAAUGCAUAACUUCAUGUGACUUAAUCUGCAUACCUUUAUAGGGCUUUGCAUAUAAACAAAUGUAAUAAAUCAGAAAAAAAUUCCUUGAGUAGACUAUAGCUCCCUUUCCAUUUGGAAAAUAUGGCUGCUUCUUUAAGUGAACAACAGGUGGAAAGCGGCCGCUGCCCGGGGUUUCUGUCAUUUCUGAAGAAUCUCUGCCCCAAGCUAGAACUAGCAGCUUCCGAGGUGCUGGCCUUCAUGUCCCCUGGGAGGAGCACCAGGCCCCCUCAUUUGCCAGCAUUCUUCCUACAGGAGAAGGAAGGAACUCUGGUCAACUCCAGCAGGCCCGUCUCCCUGCAGAGAACCUCACUGAAAACAUCAGUCUUUGCUCUCUCGAUCCAAUUCUGGGCUGAGGGAAAGAACGGGGAGAAAGAGAAAUGAAGGGCCCUGGGCAUGGGGGACGGAGGGGAGGUGAAGGCAGGGUGACAUUGCAGACAAGGUGCUUGCUGCCCCCAUGUUUUUCUGUGUAAGUCCCCAGUGGGUUUGUGAAGGUCACAGAGCACAAAGAGACGGUGUUCUCUUCUGUGUUGGCAUCUGGCAUUAUCUGUCCCUGAUUCUACUGUUUGUUCUGUCUUCUAGUGACUUCCUGGAAGAAACUAGAGAUGACUUGGGGGCAGGGAUGAUAGGGGCUCCCCAGAGUCAGGGGAAAUCUCUUUAUUCCUUAGGUUGGGGCGCUGAAGUAGGAUCCCCUAGGAAUGGAUUCUCAAAAUUAGCUCUCAGCUCCAUGUGUGAGGAUGGGAAGGAAAAAGAA